AAAUCAGAUCCUCAUACCUGUACUCAACCAUCUCAGCCCCAUCGUGAAGCAUUUCACUCUACAAGGGCAAGUGGUCAAUAGACCAGGGAUGGCUGCCACCAAGCUGUGCAUGCUCCUAUAGACCACAUACUCCUCAAGUCCCACCAGCUUGCUCUGAGGCCUUCUCCUAAAGGGCAUCCUGAGAGUCCUAAACAAAAAGUGAGACCCCGGCAGAACCUCCAGGCUCUGCCCUUCAGCUUACAAAGCCUCAGUAUCUCUGUUGGAGGCCAUCAUCUGGUACCAUGGUGGCUCUGCGCAGAUGAGGGAAACAUACAGAUAGGUGGCAUGACUCAUUUGAGGCACACAGAAAAGGCUUGGCAAGACCCAGCUCCUGGCUCCUUACCCCACAUUCUUUCCAUUUCCCUACCCAGAUCGCCAGCUCAGAUCCACCUCUAAAACCCAUUGCAAGCCUUGGUCCUAGGCCCAAGCAGGUAUUUCUCAUCCUUCCCGGAACCAAAAGAGCCCCUCAAAGGUGCUCAACCCAUGUCAGACCCUGAGUGAGUACACUCGCAGGUUUUCCACCAAGCUGGGGCCCAUUCAGUCCCCCCUCCCAAGGCUUGUCUCUGCAGGCUUCCAAUGUCCAUUAGGACAGCAUAGCAAGGGUUAACAGCAUGAACUAAUAUUUAGAAAUAGCAUAUCCCAAAGGGAGUCAGCUGUGGCCAGCUGGUCACAGCCACUGAAGCCACAAGCCUUUGUGGACACGAUGUGGCAGGGGAGAGCCUAUUCUGGGGAACCUGAGAAGCCCCAAGAGGGUAACCCACCCCUGCACCCAUGCCAUCCACCCAGUAUGGCAUAGGCAUGCCCUAGAACCCAUCAGGGCUAGAUAGGCAAAGCUCCCCACGGGCCUCCCAUUCACAGCCUUGCUCCCAAACCAGCAAAGACAACUUCUCAGCUCCUGAAUUGUGUAAUUGUUGGGACUAGCUGCUCCUGUCCGCCUGAGCCUGGCUGCCUGCACUUGGAGGAGCCCCACCGGCUCCUGGGCCAAGAAGCUGGAGCAAGACUGCUCCUAGCAGAAGCUUAGCCUGAGGCCACUGCAGAGGAGUUUCUGAUUAUGAGAUUGUAGAAUCGAGGAACCAGUGCCUAAAGCCAUGUCCCCUUGCACAGGGUAGUCUGCAUUCUGUGUCCUUUAUGGCAAAGGACCAAUUCCCUGAGGGCAGGUUCCAAGCAGUUGAACAACAGCACUCAGACACCACCCCUUUGAGGGCAGAAGCCCAUGCCAUUUACCAGCAGGCUGGCUUUGGCCGCAGGCUCCUCGGGUGGAGCCAGUCAGUCAGAGUGCAAAACACCCAGGCUGAGGGCAGGGCGGGGCUGCUACUGCCAAAGCAGGCAUGCUUAGUCUCAGAUGCACUGGGGCCAGGGGCUGUUAAAAGUAUCCAGAAGAGCCAACCUGCACAGCUACACACUGUUGGGAAAGUAGACACUGUUAGGCGGUCUGUUGUCUCGUUCCCCUGAGUACUUGGGGGAAACUGAGGCCUCACAUACUCUAGGUCGUUGAAGCUUCAGAGGAUUUGCAAUCCUCUGAUUUAUAGGUGGGAAUAUUCAGAGUCAUCAUCUUUCCUUGUCCUGCGGAGCGGUGUCAGUCUACAGGGUGGGGAGAGCACUGAGUUGAACCCCCCCCCCAACCCCUGGUUUAGCUAGGGAAAUGAUUCCAUAGCGUCUGCAGAAGAAAAGUACCUGUCAAGGAAAGCAGGCAGCAAGGGCUUCCUGAGGGGAGGUAAAACAUGACCAGGGAGAUAGGGCACCGGAGUAGUCACUGUGUCUGGUCAACCCAAGUCAAGGAAAAUCAUGGCAAAGGUUAGCAGGCAGAAGGGAGGCGAGAGUCAACCCUGAGGUUGAUGCCAGGGAGGUUUGGGUCAGCUCUGCUCAUGACAGGCAUGCCCAAGAGGCUGGGGUGAGGGCAACUGAGGAGCUGGCACUGCCCCACCCAACAGCACGUUCUGAGUCAGUAGGAGGUGACUAUUCUAAGGCUACAUGGGGCCUCAAACUCAUAUCUCUGCUGAGCUUCGGUCCAGGGUUCAAGCCUCACGCUAAAGACUAACAGAGGCCAAGCAUGCGUAUCCAGAGCCCUGCAGGAUUGAGAGCCUCAGUUUUCUAUCUGGUCUGGGGACAUGUUUAUUGCUUAGGUGAAUGGUUCUUAUUUUUAAUCUCUCUCUCUCUCUCUCUCUCUCUCUCUCUCUCUCUCUCUCUCUUCUCUCUCUCUCUCUCUGUCUCUCAGUAACUAACUUUAUAGUUGAAAAUGACCUUGAAUUUCUGUUCUCUUGCCUCUACCUUCUGAGUGUUAGGAUUGAAAUCUAUGUAGCUUUGUCCAGUUUUUGUCCUUGGGGAAGGGGGGUUGUUUUGUUGUGUUUUUUCAUUGUUUUUAAAGAUUUGUUUUAGGGGGGCUGGGAUGGCUCAGCCUUAGGAGCACCGGCUGCUCUUCCAGAGGUCCUGAUUCAAUUCCUACAUGGUGGCUCACAGCCAUCUGAAUUGGGAUCUGAUGCCCUCUUCUGGUGUGCAUGAAGGUGGCACACUCAUAUACACAAAUAAUAAACCUUUUUUUUUUAAAAAAUAAGAUUCGUUUUAAUUGAAUUUGAUUCUGUGUGUGCUUAUGUGACCAUAUGGCAUAUGUACAGGUGCCUACGGAAGAUAUGAGAGCAUGUCGGAGCCCCCGGAACUGGAGCUACAGUUAGUCAUUGAGUCCCUCAAUGUGGGCGCUGGGAACCAAACUCAGGUCCUCUGCAAAAGCAGUAAGCACUGUUCACUGCUGACCUCUUCACCCCACACCCAGGUUUUAUGCAGUGCUUCGAGCAAACCCAGGGCUUUGUGAUGCUCACCAGGCACUCUAUCUCACCAGGCACUCUACCCACUGAGCUACAUUCCCAUCCUCCCCUAACCCUUCCCCAGCCCCAGUGCUAGAGAGCGAAUCCGGGGCCCUGUGCAUGCUAGGCAAGUGUUCUGCCGCCUAGGUACUCCCCCUGGUAAAUGUUUUACAAACCCCGGAGAGAUGCACAAGCUGGGUCAUGAACGAAGUGCUGGUUGUAUUUUUCUAGGUCUGUUUCUCACCCCCACCAGCAACAAGGCUGGGAGGCUCUGAGCUCAUCCUGUCUUAAAUCUCAGCUGUGGGCUGGGCUGCAGCUACUAGUCUGGAGGCACCUCAGACAGAGAAACGAUUCCUGGGGGGGUGGGGAGCAAAUACAUCCAUGGGUAGGGAGCAAGCGAGAUGCGAGAAGACAGGCGGUAUAGGAUGGUGCACAUCUCCACUCUAGUUCCCAAUUCAUAAAAAGACAAACAAUUCCC
ensembl:lncRNA